UUAUAAUCCCUGCAUAUUCCAGGAACAUGGCUUCUCAUAACGAGUCUGAAUUACAUUGAUUUCUCAUAGUCUGAGGUAGGGGGCAAACCAUGGCCAUUACUACUUAAGCUGUUUUCAUGAGAUGGACAGAAAAAACGAAUGAGAAUUUCAGUUUUUAGAGUAAUAAUAGCAAGAACUUUGAUUCAAAUUGAUAUUAAAUCCAAUUUUUUUGUACCUGAAAGUAUUCUGACGGAAUUCUUCAUGUUUACUCAUGAUGGAACGUCUUAUGAAUUGAAAAAGAGGCAAUCUCCUGUUAUUGAUAUUAGAGCAGCACUUUCUGCAAAGAAUACAUUAGAGGUCAUUUAAUUGUACGGCUUACUUCCACUCCUCAUCUGUGCAGUGAAUACCAUUUCGGCUCCAGCCGCAAAUUCUGCAUAUGGGAGACAUCUGGAUUGGCGGGAAAAAUGGUACUGAAGUGAUAUCGGUCAGACAACUUACAAACAUUAUAGAUGCAUUUUCUUGGAUAAAAGUGUGCCGUCGCCAUCAGUAUUACGGCCUUCUCUGUUCCAGAUACAAGCCAUCAAUACUCUCCAAUCUCCUAAAGAUAAUCUGAAGUAUCAAAAUCUCAUGAUAUCUACAUGUUUUUACCCAAGUGAUCGCAGCACGAGAUACCGUUUGGAGUCUUAAAUUUUGCAAUUCGGAGCCUUUUCAAUGGAACUAUAAAUGGAGAUCCAAUUUAUGCAGUUCAGUUUUUAAGAUUCAUUUUUGUAAACUGAUCUGUUUUUCAUUUUACUUACAUGUUUUUCAAAAUUAGUCUUUUGGUAUCAUUUUGUACUGAAUGGCAAUACUCGUGAAAACAAUUUUAU